ACCACCUGGCCACUCUCUUUUUGUUCUCCUCAAUGCUGAUCAGGGCCCUCAAUCGCUGACUUGCCAAAUCAUUGAGCUCUCCCUUCAUAAGUAAGGAAUAGUCAUCGGCUGUCAACUGAUCUUGAAGCGAUGUACGUCUUGACCCCGUUCUUAACUCCCAAGGCAAUACUGCUUCAUGACCAUAUACCAAUUGAUAAGGGGAUAUCUUAGUAGCCCCGUGGCAGGC
rnacentral:lncRNA from 1 species